UACGGAGGGUGCAAACGUUGCUCGGAAUCAUUGGGCGUAAAGCGCACGUAGGCGGUCCGUUAAGUCGGAUGUGAAAGCCCUCGGCUUAACCGAGGAAGUGCAUCCGAAACUGGCGGGCUUGAGUACGGAAGAGGGUCUCGGAAUUCCCGGUGUAGAGGUGAAAUUCGUAGAGAUCGGGAGGAACACCAGUGGCGAAGGCGGAGACCUGGGCCGAUACUGACGCUGAGGUGCGAAAGCGUGGGGAGCAAACAGG
rnacentral:rRNA from 1 species